rnacentral:lncRNA from 1 species
CAGAUCCAAGCCAUGUCUGCGACCUACACCACAGCUCAUGGCAACACUGGAUCCUUAACCCACUGAGCAAGGCCGUGGAUCGAACCUGCGUCCUCAUGGAUACUAGUCAGAUUCGUUUCUGCUGUGCCACACGGGGCCUUGAAAUACGGUUGGGGUCUGAAUAUGGAACAGUGCAGAGAAGAGGGACGGGCACCCCACAUGGAUGAGCAGUGAGAAAAAGAGCUUGGUGGAAAGAGUGGGGGCGCGCCUGGGGACGGCAAGGAAGCCGGGUCCAGGAGGCAGAGGAUGUGCGGGGAAGGCGGAAGAUGUGGUUGACUGAGAGGUGGCCAUGGGAAGCUCGAGUGAACCACAUCGAAGCCCUCCGUCUAGCGUCGCUUUGCAGUCGUGUGUGUGUGAUUACUGUCCACCCAUCCAUAGGGCCACCCCGCUACCCUGUGAGCACAGGGGCAUAUGUUUUAUCAUGGACACUGGUAUGUGUAAAGACUUGCGUGUGCCAGACACACCUGGCUCAAAUGGGAGUGCAGCUCUUCCUCAGUUUUGUGUAAUUGCUGGUCACUGAGCUCCAGCGGAGAGCCAUGCCUGGCACUCUGAGACUGACACGCUACCUGCUGUGCUAACAAGGCACCUCAAUGCCUGGCACUAGAUGCUGGAGCGUGAGGACAAACAGGUUGAGAUCUAAAAAGUAAGACUUGGACCGGGGCUGUCCUUAGACUCACCUGAGUCCUUCAGACCUUCCUUCCUGCAGAACCUGGGGAGAUGUUGGGCUGAAGACUGAGGAUGCAGACACCGCGUCUGCCAUCUUCGUCCCAGCAGCUUCCACGCCAAUGCUGAGCUGCCACUGCUCUGCCUUGGGGCCAGACGAAAGGCCGUGUUCUCAUCCAGCGCCCCCUCUGAAAAAGCAGUUUGGUACCUUCUUAUAUACACCCACAAGGCUGGCCCCAGAUUGCAAGAAAUAUUCAGAAGUGGUUUUCAAUGAUAACAUCCAGCUAACUCCUCUAAACCCAGGAGGCCUGGAGGCUGUUUAUCUCAAGGAAGAUGCCUGGAGCCUUCCCCCCGGACAUAAAUGGAGGAUCCCAGAACGUGUGAACAUGCAUCCUCUGACUGGGUACCGGUCAGCUGUCCCCCCGCCCCCACCACCAGGCACAGGAACCAAGGCAGAGGGCGGGAGGCAGGAGAGGCCAAAGUCCUUACCUGCUUCUGAGCCCAGGUUUUCCUGGCAGAGCUGGGAAGCGGGAAGUAUCUCCCUACCUGCCUCUAGCCCUGAGAUGCUGAGAAGGAAGCCAGGACCCCGAGGGAGGCUUUGGAUCUCUGCAGGACUGUGCCUGUGCCAUCUCUGGCACCAGUCUUUACUGAGCCCCCAGCAGGUUACCGUAGCAUCCAGUCUGGUCUGGCCUGGCACCUAAGAGAUUGGGUUUUAAAACGAGGGCCUAUCUACAAAAAAUAAAGUAAUAGUGACAGCUAAAUUUAUCAAGUAGUUACUCUGUUCCAGGUGUGGUGCUAAGUGUUUGCUUUGCAUUCGCUCAUUUAAGCCUCCCCGUGACUCUGGAAUAAUUGUGGGAUUGUUUGACAGCUGAGGAAACUGAGUCACAGAGAGACAUGGUCUCUUUCUGAAAUCACUCGGCCAGUAACAGGUGGAAGUGGACAUUGAACCCGUCUGCCUCCAGAGCUUGUACGCCUCAGGGAAGUCGGCCCCGGGGGGUGUGUAGGAGCCACCAGAGGUCAGAGCAGAGAGGUCAGCUGCUGACCAGCCGGACUCUGAGAUCCGGUUUCUCGCUGUUGGAGCCGGCUGCCCCCACUGCUUCAGGGAGGGGACUGCUGCCCUGCUGUAUGAGCCACCUUUGCCAGGAGGAUUAGCUUCUUCCUCGUGUCAAAACAAGCCAAGCAGGAAAAAAAUCAACAACCAACUCCCGACUUCCAGCAGCAAGAGCCCUGCAUCCUGUCCAGCAGGAGGGAGCUCUCCGCUGCGGAGGGGGUCGACUGUCCUAGACCACGUCCUGGUUGUGGGCGUGUGCCGAGAGGGACCCCGAGACCCCCGGGUUUCCAGGUCGGGGCCCCGAGGCCCUGCCAGUGCACAGUCCCUGGCAGCAGCCCUUCUCCUCUGCUCCCCAUCCAGCCCUGUGACGUCUGCUGAUAUCCCGUCCUGCCACGGGCUUGCUCUGCGUCCACGGCGAGCCCAGUGACCGUUUGCAGGGUAAGGACAUUGGAUGUGAGCAGUGGUUUUCAAAACAAAAUGUUUCUUUGUUGCAAAGGAACAUGUUCUUCAGAUGAAACAACUUCUGCUAGAAUAGCAAACAGUCUAAAGCAGAGGUGUCAGUUUUCGUAAAAAUAAACAAGGGCCAAAAACCUUGGGUCAGUCAAAAUUCUCUGCAAAUGGUUCCCUGAGCCUGACUGGAUCUCCUUUUGCCACUCCUGCCCCCUUUGGUGGCCUUUGCACCUUCUGGCUUGAUUGGAAGUUGUGGAUUCUUCGGAGCCCCCUCAGCUUCCUCCAUGGAGCCUCAGUGCGUCGUGGUUCCAGCUGCAUUUAUUAACCAUUUUAAUCGUUGGGCUCCCCCGAACUGCCUGGUGGUAGCUUCAGAGAAUGUGUGUGUAUAUUUGCAUACACAUGGUAUUUGCAUAGAUGAUGUAUGCAGACAGCAUAUAUUUGCAUAUGCAUUUAUGUAUAUGUGUGUAUCCGUGGGAACAUAUGUGCGUAUGCAUGUGCGUGUCACAUACGGAGAGAGCCUUUGGAGAGAGGCCAUGUCUUUGUGUCCCUCAGCACCUGGUCAGCAGUAGGCCCGCAGGAGCGUUUCGAUCGCGGGGGUCUUCUGCGUCCUCAGAACAUCUUCUUGCCCAUGUCAGGUGCUCAGUAAAUACUAGCGUCGAAUGAUUGGGUGACUUGGCAGGUCAUACCUGGAAAGUCUUGGCUAUCAAUCUUGGGUCUUGCCAUGUACUUGCUGUAAAAUCGGGGUAAAUAUUCAUCACUUGUCUUAACCAUCGGGUGGGGAUGACAGCGCAUGCCUGCCGCAACUGCUGAUGGAAUGCCUGCCACAGUCCAGGCACGCCUCUCAGCAGUUUACAAAGCAGACAGAGGUCCUUGUCCUCAUGGAGCUCACAUUUCAGCCAGAUUCGAGAAGAGCCCCUCUCCCGCCCCCGACCCCGAGUUGCUGGGAGAAGAGGAGGAGGAAAGGGUCCCUCCUGCUUGGUCAGAGGCAGAGCCACAACCUGGGUUGGGACUGCCACAGGAUGGAGGGGCGCUGGUGGCCUGUGUGGGACACAGGACUCUCAGCGCGGAGUUUACGCCAUGAGAGAAGAGGAGGAGGAAAUGCCAUCGGGGCUGAGCUGGAAGGGUAGCAAGUCUCUCUGCCUCCCCAGGCACCUGCUCUGACUGACCCUGAGGCUGUGCCCCCCGCCCCCAGUCAGCACCACGUGGAGCUGCCCUCGUCUGAGGGCUGCAGCCCCAGAGCCCUGCUGCCUCCAUGCCUCUCUUUUCUAGUGGCAUCUCUUUUACCCAUUUCCAGGGCAUCGCUCUGGGAAAUAGAGAGAGGAGGCUUUGGCCCUGGUCACCUCUGGCUGCCCUGCUGGCCCUCGGAGCCGCAUGUUCAUGGAGGUUUGUCCCUCACCGAGGAUGAUUUCGAGUGAGUUUUACUUGAUCUUGGCUCUGCUUUAGUGCCCUCGUCUAUAAGGUGGGACUGGUAAUAAUUGCACUUACCUCAUGGAGUUAUUGAAAGGAUUAAAUGAGCCUGUAAAGUGCUUAAAAUAGUAUCUGGCUCAGAGUAAGUGCUCUGUCUGUUCAUGCUGGAUGGCUGGACGCAUUUGUGUAGUGGCGGUGGGCCUGUCUGCUUGGCCCUGUGACCACGAGCUCGCCGUGGGCAGGACACAUCCCACGUGUCCCUAUAGUCUCAGCACCUAGCCCGGUGCCUGGCACACGGUAGGCAUGCCGCAAAUACACGUUAUGAGAACAGUGACCACUCUGGGAACUUUCACAUGCCACAGGUGUGG